AGUGAACGCUGGCGGUAGGCCUAACACAUGCAAGUCGAACGGCAGCACAGUAAGAGCUUGCUCUUACGGGUGGCGAGUGGCGGACGGGUGAGGAAUACAUCGGAAUCUACUUUUUCGUGGGGGAUAACGUAGGGAAACUUACGCUAAUACCGCAUACGACCUACGGGUGAAAGCAGGGGAUCUUCGGACCUUGCGCGAUUGAAUGAGCCGAUGUCGGAUUAGCUAGUUGGCGGGGUAAAGGCCCACCAAGGCGACGAUCCGUAGCUGGUCUGAGAGGAUGAUCAGCCACACUGGAACUGAGACACGGUCCAGACUCCUACGGGAGGCAGCAGUGGGGAAUAUUGGACAAAGGGCGAAAGCCUGAUCCAGCCAUACCGCGUGAGUGAAGAAGGCCUUCGGGUUGUAAAGCCCUGUUGUUGGGAAAGAAAAGCAGCAGGUUAAUACCCCGCUGUUCUGACGGUACCCAAAGAAUAAGCACCGGCUAACUUCGUG
rnacentral:rRNA from 1 species